CCCUUAGAUGUUCUGGGCCGCACGCGCGCUACACUGAUGCAUUCAACGAGUCUAAAACCUGGUCUGAUAGGGCUGGGUAAUCUUUUGAAAGUGCAUCGUGAUUGGGAUAGAUGAUUGCAAUUCUUCAUCUUCAACGAGGAAUGCCUAGUAAACGCAAGUCAUCAGCUUGCAUUGAUUACGUCCCUGCCCUUUGUACACACCGCCCGUCGCUCCUACCGAUUGAAUGAUCCGAUGAAUACCAUGGAUUGAGAGUUCGAAUAGGUUCGCCUAUUUCAGCUUCUCGAGAAGUGAAGUAAAUCUUAUCAUUUAGAGGAAGGAGAAGUCGUAACA
rnacentral:rRNA from 1 species